CCUGGCUCAGAUUGAACGCUGGCGGUAUGCCUAACACAUGCAAGUCGAACGGCAGCACGGUCUAGUUUACUAGAUGGGUGGCGAGUGGCGGACGGGUGAGUAAUGCGCAGGAAUAUGCCUUAAAGUGGGGGACAACUUGGGGAAACUCAAGCUAAUACCGCGUAAUCUCUUCGGAGAAAAGCUGGGGACCUUCGGGCCUGGCGCUUUAAGAUUAGCCU
rnacentral:rRNA from 1 species